AUUUAUAUAGUUUAUAAAAACUUUACAUUUUCAUUGUAAAAAUAAAAUUUCAAUAUUUUUAUAAAUA
rnacentral:tRNA from 1 species